CUAGUUGGGGGUCUCUUCCCCUCUAGUAGUUCCUCACAGUUUUGUGCAAAGUCGGGUCAACUUGGUUGGCUCUGCCUUGUGCUGUAGAUCUGGUUGUUGGCAUAGAGACCCUCCUUUUAGGAGACUUGUGCCACUACUAAGAUCUAGGCUGCUUGAAAAGAGACGUAUGGACCCUUCUUUCAGGAGACCUAUGUCUCGAGUCAAAGCAAGCAAGGCAAGCCUUUGGGGCUCUAGUACUAACUAUCCCCAAAGGUGUUUAUUCUUCUCGUGUAAACCAUGAUGUACGAAAAAGUUAGUUGUUAACUUAAAAACAACUCUUGGCAAUGGAUCUCUUGGUUCUCGCAUCGAUGAAGAGCGUAGCAAAGUGCGAUAAUUAUUGCGACUUGCAUUCAUAGCGAAUCAUCGAGUUCUCGAACGCAUCUUGCGCCUAGUAGUCAAUCUACUAGGCACAGUUGUUUCAGUAUCUGCAACUACCAAUCAGUUCAACUUGGUUCUUUGAACCUAAGCGAGCUGGAAAUGGGCUUGUGUUGAUGGCAUUCAGUUGCUGUCAUGGCCUUAAAUACAUUUAGUCCUAGGCAAUUGGCUUUAGUCAUUUGCCGG
rnacentral:rRNA from 1 species